rnacentral:rRNA from 1 species
AUUGAACGCUGGCGGAAUGCUUUACACAUGCAAGUCGAACGGCAGCACGGGGGCAACCCUGGUGGCGAGUGGCGAACGGGUGAGUAAUACAUCGGAACGUGCCCGGUCGUGGGGGAUAACGUAGCGAAAGUUACGCUAAUACCGCAUACGAUCUGAGGAUGAAAGCGGGGGACCUUCGGGCCUCGCGCGAUCGGAGCGGCCGAUGUCAGAUUAGGUAGUUGGUGGGGUAAAGGCCUACCAAGCCGACGAUCUGUAGCUGGUCUGAGAGGAUGACCAGCCACACUGGGACUGAGACACGGCCCAGACUCCUACGGGAGGCAGCAGUGGGGAAUUUUGGACAAUGGGCGCAAGCCUGAUCCAGCCAUUCCGCGUGCAGGACGAAGGCCUUCGGGUUGUAAACUGCUUUUGUAUGGAACGAAAAGGCUCUGGCUAAUACCUGGGGCUCAUGACGGUACCGUAAGAAUAAGCACCGGCUAACUACGUG